GGGCCUGUGUCGCGGUAGGGAAUCGUGUCCAAAACACGGCGGUCGCUACCCAGCAUGCAGUGCAACGUUAGGAACCGCCCAGGCUCUGUUAUCUAUGAACAGGUGUGUUGGGUUGGGAACAGGUAAGUUAACUAGCUACGUGGUUGAGUUCAGGAGAGAAACAGGAGCGGGGUUAAGGAACGCUAUGUUAAAUAAACAGUAAUGGAGACAACAACCGAAGCACUAAAUCACAGAGCGAGACUGAGAACCUGGUGGAGAUUGACCCUGAUGAGUAACCACAUGCUGUGCGUGGUGAUGAAGAGGGACAAACAGUGAGGGGAAUCUCAUCUGAAGAAGGGCUACAGUUGAAUAUCUCCAGCAGCGGGACGGAAGAACAUCCUGGAGCACCAUACAGGACGGCAGGUCUUUUGGUAG